GUUGGAAAGCUUGGAUACCGCUGACUAGGUGCAACUCAGAAUAGGGGGGAGGUAUCUGUUUUCAGUCUGUUUUUUGUAAAUUCAGCUAAAAAAAAGCCAAGAGUCAAUGGGUUAAUUUAAUGUAUACUGAUGGCGAUAAAAAAACAUCUCCAAGAGAUAAUAGCGGAGCCACAUAGAUAUAGAUAUAUGGUAUAGCUAUGCGACUUGGUUUUGUGGUCAUCGCGCGGGUAUCUUGUGGUGUCACAAUCUAUCCAUCCAGCCCAAGGCCCCACUCGGUCUUACGUUUUCACGUAUUUUUAUUUUUUUACCGCCUUCAAAGUUCGUGUGUUCACAGCAAAAAAGGCAGAUUGAAAAUAGUAUUUAAUGAGAAAAUAUGCGGAUUCAAAUGGGCUGAAAUCUUUGAGGAACCGUUUUGUCUGAAGCCGAUAGUAAAACCUACCCGAGUGUUCGUGAAUCCCGUCCGUUGCAGCAGCAAAAAGAAGACUACUUAGAGGCUCUACACUACCAUUUUAAUAAUAUUCCUUCACGUCUAUAUCUAUGGAGAUCUAUAAGGAGAUCCUGAGAAGAAAGUGCCUUGGAUUGAUGUAUGUUUUCAGCUAUAAAAAAAAUCACUUGUGUCGACGAGUUUCUUGCUAGCAGAAAGCCGACAAGUUCACAGUUUACAACAAAAAGCGAACACAACCACACACAGAAAGCGACAAAAAACACUGCCAAGGUAAAACCAACCAAGGACUACCCGAGGGCCAUGAUUGAUGCUGAAGGCUGGGAGGCAUGAGAAUAGGCAAAUGUCUUAAAGAUAAUAAAGUAGGGGAUUUCUUACUUUGAUACAGCAGUAAAUGUGAAAUAGGCUUUUUUAGAGCAAAUACUUGCCCUCAAUGAUAAAUCUGAAAACAUUUUUUCUAUCAACCUGAAGAUAAUUAGGAAAGGGGAAAUGUUAGGAGAGUGCUCAACCAAGUUGUUGCAUUACUGAUGAUUUUUCUAUCAAAGAUAUAGUCCAAUUUCUUCCUUUUCUCUCUCUCUCUCUCUCUUGAUUAUUGAUAUUAUUUGCUGUUUCCUCUCUGCACCCUAAAUAAAUUAAAAUAGGUAAUAGGUUUGAAAUUAGACAUUUUCAAUCAAUUUGUUCUCCUCCAUUGCAUUUAAUUUAGGAGUAGCAUUAGCAUAUGUGGAUCCAUGGUUUCUAUAAAAAAACAGCAGGCCACCAUCCUAAAGGGUGGGUGCACCAAUGUCUAAUACUGGAGGUAUAUUUGUGGAUCUUAAUUUCCUUGGUGAUAGAGUAUCACCAGUAAUAAGUGAUAGAUUAAUCUUCCAUAUGGCAUCUGAAGUGUAUCUAACUAUAUCAUUCUAUCUUUGGAAUGCUGUUGCAUCCAUCAUUUGUUUCUUUGCAAGGGCAAAGCUGGUCAGAAUGUAGCUUUGAUACAAGUUUACAUUAAUGAAACUUCUAUCAGGGGAAGGGUUUUUUAUUAGAGCAAGGUCCAGGGGGGACUCUCCAGAAAGAUAGACGGGGGUGCUCAACCUAUCUUUUACGGUAUACAAUUUUUUUUCCAACUGCUAUCUCUUAGGGUGUGUUUUAGGAUUUUUCCGAUUCUGCUAUCUUUUAAGGUUUCUCACGUUAAGUGGUGGCCCAAUCGCUUGAAAUGUAUUUUACAAUAAACCACAAGUCAACUGAUCGGUUAAUACUUUCUACUUUAUUGUUGGUAACAUAACAAUAUAAGAUCCGUCAGCAAAUUAAAACCAGCAUUGUUUUUUUUAAUGCUGUCUCUCAGGGUUAAAAGUUCCUCUGACUACACCUGUGCUAUCUCUGAGGGGUAAGAAUUGUUGUUGACCACGCCCUUAGUGCUAUUCCUUAGGGUUAAAAUUGAUUAUGCUGUCGAGCACCCCGAGCACCCCCGUCUCUCAAACUCCCGUUUCUCAAAGCCCCUCCCCCCUGGGAGCAAGGUACUUAAACUAUAUAAGGACAACAUCAAACUUGUGCAUUUUCAAUAAUAAAUCUGUAAAGAAAACCUAUAGUUAAAUAGAAAGGGGAAAAUGUUAGGAAUAUGCUCAUUUAAGCUAUUAUUGCAUUAUUGUUAUAUAUUUUUAAAAGUAGAGUCACAUUUUUUCAAAUAUAGAGUCAUUCAUUUCUCCCUUUUUCUUCUCCCCAUUGACUUUUUGUUAUAUUUAUUUCUCUCUAACCCUAACAUAGGUCAACAUGGUUUGGUUUGAAAUUAGAAAUUGGAAUUAAGCACUUUCAGUAUAACUUUAGGAUUUGCCUCCAUUGCAUUCAUUUUUAAAAUAAUGACAAAAAUUUUUGGGCCAAAUCCCCCCCUUGGCAAAAAGCUAGAUCCGCCUCUGAACUGCAGUACGGCAUCUUAAUCUUUGGAAUGCUGUUACAUCCUUGGUAUAUUCUUCACAAGGUCAAGCUUGUUAGAAUGUUGUUUUGAUAAAAAUAUACAUAGUGGAACUUCUAAAAAGGGAAAUAAGAAUUGACCAUUAGACUCUUGAAAAAAACAUUCUCGUCAACUAAACACCUUGAACCUUGACAGCCUUUCUCACACCAAGUUUUAGUAUUUUGUUGACUUUCACACUGCUUAUUUAAUAUUAUUGAAUGAGUUCUGCUUGAUCUAUUUGGAGGGGCCAAUACAAUUCAUAAUAACAUGGCAGUAAAAUUUGACAUAUUUUUAAUCUCAUUAAAAAACAUUCUAGAGACACCCCCUAAAACUACCCCUAUCAGUCAACACAAAAAGGUGUUAAAUGCAGGGCCUAAAUCUAUAUAUUAUUUUAAUUAGUGUUGGUUUGAGAAAAAUACAAACUACAUAGGUUUCCCUACAGGUCUGUUUCGUGGUUGCCCACUCAUCAGGGGAUUUUAAUUGAUUGAGCAAACGAAGAAAAACAAUAGUGCAGUUUUUAUCAUGUUUGGAGUCUAACGAUAACUUUCAACUACAUUUUUUCGACAAGAAUUCAAGGGAAAAUUAAGAUGUAACACUAAUUCUACAACACUUGCGCGUAAUCAAUCUUCUGAUUGGUUGUUAGCUGGUAAAUCAGAGGAUAUACUACGGGAUUCAUCAUCCACACAAUACUUGCAGAAGGAUAACACCCCAUGUUACACAUCAAUCCCAUCUGAGACACACACCCCAUGUUACACAUCAUUCCCAUCUGAGACGCCCCAUGUUACACAUCAAUCCCAUCUGAGACACACACCCCACGUUACACAUCAAUCCCAUCUGAGAUACACAACCUAUGUUAUACAUCAAUCCCAUCUGAGACCAACACCCCAUGUUACACAUCAAUCCCAUCUAAGACACACACCCCAUGUUAUACAUCAAUCCCAUCUGAGACCAACACCCCAUGUUACACAUCAAUCCCAUCUGAGAGACACACCCCAUGUUACACAUCAAUCCCAUCUGAGACCCACACCCCAUGUUACACAUCAAUCCAACUGAGACACACCCCAUGUUACACAUCAAUCCCAUCUGAGACACACACCCCAUGUUAUACAUCAAUCCCAUCUGAGACCCACACCCAACGUUACACAUCAAUCCCAUCUGAGACACACCCCACGUUACACAUCAAUCCCAUCUGAGACACACAACCAAUGUUAUACAUCAAUCCCAUCUGAGACGCACCCAAUAUCACACAUCAAUCCCAUCUGAGACACCCCAUAUCACACAUCAAUCCCAUCUGAGACCAACACCUCAUAUCAGACAUCAAUCCCAUCUGAGACACGCCCCAUAUCACACAUCAAUUCCAUCUGAAACCCCAUGUUACACAUCAAUCCCAUCUGAGACGCACCCCAUAUCACACAUUAAUCCUAUCUGAGACACCCCAUAUCACACAUCAAUCCCAUCUGAGACCCGCCCCAUAUCACACAUCAAUCCCAUCUGAAAUCCCAUGUUACACAUCAAUCCUAUCUGAGACACACACCCCAUGUUACACAUCAAUCCCAUAUGAGACACACCCCAUGUUAUACAUCAAUCCCAUCUGAGACACACACCCCACGUUACACAUCAAUCCCAUCUGAGACCCCAUGUUACACAUCAAUCCCAUCUGAGACCCACACCCCACGUUACACAUCAAUCCCAUCUGAGACCCACACCCCACGUUACACAUCAAUCCCAUCUGAGACACACAACCCAUGUUACAAAUCAUUCCCAUCUGAGACACACACCCCAUGUUAUACAUCAAUCCCAUCUGAGACACACACCCCAUGUUACACAUCAUUCCCAUCUGAGACACACCCCAUGUUACACAUCAAUCCCAUCUGAGAUCCACAACCCACGUUACACAUCAAUCCCAUCUGAGACCCACAACCCAUGUUGCACAUCAAUCCCAUCUGAGACCAACACCCCAUGUUACACAUCAAUCCCAUCUGAGACACACACCCCAUGUUACACAUCAAUCCCAUCUGAGACACACACCCCAUGUUACACAUCAAUCCCAUCUGAGACCCCAUGUUACACAUCAAUCCCAUCUGAGACCCCAUGUUACACAUCAAUCCCAUCUGAGACCCCAUGUUACACAUCAAUCCCAUCUGAGACCCACAACCCACGUUACACUUCAAUCCCAUCUGAGACCCACAACCCAUGUCACAACACAUCAACCCUAUCAGAGACCCCAUGUUACACAUCAUUCCCAUUUGAGACACACCCCAUAUCACACAUCAAUCCCAUCUGAGACCCCAUGUUACACAUCAAUCCCAUCUGAGACCCCAUGUUACACAUCAAUCCCAUCUGAGACCCACAACCCAUGUUACACAUCAUUCCCAUCUGAGACACACCCAUGUUACACAUUAAUCCCAUCUGAGCCCCACAACCCACGUUACUCAUCAAUCCCAUCUGAGACACACACCCCAUGUUAUACAUCAUUCCCAUCUGAGACACGCCCCAUAUCACACAUCAAUCCCAUCUGAGACCCACACCCCACGUUACACAUCAAUCCCAUCUGAGACACACAACCCAUGUUACAAAUCAUUCCCAUCUGAGACACACACCCCAUGUUAUACAUCAAUCCCAUCUGAGACACACACCCCAUGUUACACAUCAUUCCCAUCUGAGACACACCCCAUGUUACACAUCAAUCCCAUCUGAGAUCCACAACCCACGUUACACAUCAAUCCCAUCUGAGACCAACACCCCAUGUUACACAUCAAUCCCAUCUGAGACACACACCCCAUGUUGCACAUCAAUCCCAUCUGAGACACACACCCCAUGUUACACAUCAAUCCCAUCUGGGACACACACCCCAUGUUACACAUCAAUCCCAUCUGAGACCCCAUGUUACACAUCAAUCCCAUCUGAGACCCCAUGUUACACAUCAAUCCCAUCUGAGACCCCAUGUUACACAUCAAUCCCAUCUGAGACCCACAACCCACGUUACACUUCAAUCCCAUCUGAGACCCACAACCCAUGUCACAACACAUCAACCCUAUCAGAGACCCCAUGUUACACAUCAUUCCCAUUUGAGACACACCCCAUAUCACACAUCAAUCCCAUCUGAGACCCCAUGUUACACAUCAAUCCCAUCUGAGACCCACAACCCACGUUACUCAUCAAUCCCAUCUGAGACACACACCCCAUGUUAUACAUCAUUCCCAUCUGAGACACGCCCCAUAUCACACAUCAAUCCCAUCUGAGACCCACAACCCACGUUACACAUCAAUCCAAUCUGAGACACACACCCCAUGUCACAACACAUCAACCCAAACUGAGACCCCCACCUAAUGUUGUUCAUCAAACCCCUCUGAGACAAAUAGUUAAUGCCCCAAACCCAACCCCCAUGUAACAAACACCCCGUCCCACACAAAAACCUAUGAAACCAACACACCAUGUAACGAAUCAAACACCUUUGAGACCAACACAACAUUUACCACGCCAAUACCAUCCGAGACCGAUUGCUCGUGUUUACAUCAAAAUCCUCCAAGAUCAAUAGAAAAACUAUAUUAAACCUCUUAUACCAAUGACCCAUGUCCAUCCGACGCCCAUUUUUGUAAGAAAAAUCUCAAAAUUCAAGCUAAGCUUUGCAACAUUGUUUAAUGCAUGUCUAGCUGAGCAGUUCAUAAAAAGUUUUCUAGUUGAAUAAGAAGUGCUUAUGGAUAAAUUAACUUAGCUAUAAUUCAAUUCUGACCAACUACAGGAUUAUUUUUCAGUAAAAUAACUCCCUUUGGUACAUACUUUUCGCAUAUGUGAACUUAACACAAAAGCGUUUGCAAACAUACGGAUGGACAUUUAUGUAUAGAUAAUCCUUGAACAUUUUGUCAUUUUAAAUAGCCAAGAAUUAAAUUGAGCUGUAAGGGGCUAAAAUUAAAAUCAUCGAUUCCUGUCUCCGGUGAAGGUAAGAAUCCUGAGUCGGUCAUUAAUGGGCGACGCCUGUGGUCUUUGUGUUUCUUUGAGCUCUGGGUAAACGCUCUUGGAGGGCAGGAAGCCCUUAUGGUGUGUAUGAAUAGUAAGCGACUCGAUGUCUCUCAUAUGGCCAUCUCAAGUGCAAGUCCUUAAACUACAGCUUACUCUUUAUUCGAAACAUUUUUUUAAAAUGAAUUACUCCUUUUUGUAUUUACGGGUGUUUUAUGAUGGAAGCAGUAAACGAAAGCAGACUUAAACUUGAAUGCGUUUGUUUUCAGAAGUACUUAAACAAGUUCUUGUGUUGUCUAUUAAGUAAUAAAAAAGAAUGAGACAGAAAGCAACGAGAGCAGAGAGGCAAUUCUUGCGUUUAAAAGUGCGCACUUCACAAUCACGACGUUCCAGAUUUGUUACCUAAUCAAAAUAUACCAUAUAUGAUGGGCAAAUUUAUUACUUUGGCGUCAGAAGUUGGGCUUAUAUCCGAUACCGUUUCUUGGUAAACAAUAAGCGUUGAGCCGCAGGGGUAGCGCAUACACGCGCUUCUACCUAAUCGUAACCAUCAACACACCACACAAGGUAUAUGAUGGAAGAAUGUCCCUAUCACCCUGAUACCAUGACUUUGAUAUCGCUCUGCUUCGGGCGAUUCUUUCUAAGGCUGGAUUCUGGAUAGGGGCUACUUGGAGAAAGAACACAAAGGGUAAGUCGCCCUCGUUUAAUAUCCAGGUGAACAUGUUCUCGUAUCCGUGACAAGGCAAAUGUUCUUUUGCGUGGGCUUGGCGGGAAACAGAGCGCGUUUCCCUCAUGCUAUCAAUCAGAAAAUCAGUAAUCGGUAGAUUUGUGGAUUAAGCCGCUCUAUAAGUCACGAUAACUCAUCUCAGGCAGGAUAAUCCGUAAAGGGGGAUUGAAGAUUCGAGAUGAAGGUGAUUACGCAGUCGCCUCGACAACAUAUCCGCUGUGCGCAGGACUAAUGAACCUUCGCAGCUACACAUCUAGUGGCCUUGCGCAUUGCACAUAUUGCAUUGCGUCACAAAGGGUGUAAAAACGAUAACGUGACUGAACUCCAGCUUUACAAAAAGCGCCGUGUUGCUCGUAUUAAAAAAUAUUUUUCAAUUAUUUGCAAUCGCUUUAUCCCCUUAGAGAUAUCUUAGCGGGUAAAACGAAUGUGCUGCCUUAUAACGCUAAGCCGUUUAUUUCUUUCUGCGCAUGCUCUUGUUGCGUGCUAUCCUAAGGCUUGUUGUGGUACAAACAGUUCCCGGCGCCUUGCAGACCAUUCAUGUGCCCCGCACUAACAACCGCCAUUAAAGGAUUAACGUCGAGAGGCCUUUUACAGCAAACGGAAAAACGGUGUCCGAUGAUGUUCUAAAAAGAAAAGAAUAUUGUCUGCUUUACAGGAUUUGACUUAAUUUCUUUACCAAGAAUUGACUGUCAGAGUGAGUAAGUUUAAAAGAAAAGUUAACUUUUACAAAUCUCCGCUAAUUUGAUCGAAACAAAGUCUGAUGUACGUCUUAUGGCGAACUUACUAUUAUCAUCGUUGGAAUAUCGAAAAAAAAAACAGUGCAAAAAAAGCUAGUUGUCUGUCUAAGUUAAGACGGUGUCAGAUUAAGAUAUAUUACUAAAAAGCUCAAAAAAACUCUCUUAGACGCAUGUGUACUGUUUCGAUUGUGCCGUCGUUGUGCAUUUGUUCGGGCGGAUAACACAUGCGGAAAACAGGGUAAUUAAGAUUUGAUAGCACUGAUUCCAGUUUGAUCCCCUUAUCCUGCGUCCUGUUUAACUCUCGUAAAUCCCGGAACAUGGCUAAUAACAGAACAGAUAAAAAAAUAGUGAAAAACAAUACAUCUGCGAAGCCGCAAGGGAGGUUUCAUAUUACUCAGAAUAUAGAAAUGACUCAGAUAUGAGUAAAGCCUACCUUCAGAAAUCGCCUUUGCAUAUUAGAAUGUAAUACACUUUGUUCGGAUUUACACUGUUAUCAAAUAAGGUUGCUAAUGUCUAGAUUUUAUUCAUAAUUGUUUAUCUUUUCUUACUAGUGUUGCAACAAUAAAAGUCUCAUUUGCAGAGUGUCUAGUGACGAUAACUAACUAGUAUGAGUAUAGAUUUCUUUCUUACUAGUGUUGCAACAAUAAAAGUCUCAUUUGCAGAGUGUCUAGUGACGAUAACUAACUAGUAUGAGUAUAGAUUUCUUUCUUACUAGUGUUGCAACAAUAAAAGUCUCAUUUGCAGAGUGUCUAGUGACGAUAACUAGUAUGAGUAUAGAUUUCUUUUUCAUAUCAAGGCGAGGCCGUACACUUGAGUGAAUACUUGCAAAUCAAAGCUUUUACUGUCGUUCGCCAUUUGAUAGGAAUCCGAUUAUCAUUUUACAGCUGAAUGUUUUCACCCUGAUCAUUAGAACUCUUUCUCCAUCAAGCUACCUACACGCAAAAAACGCCACUGCGUCCCUGAAGUAACUGCACAAAUACAGCA